rnacentral:tRNA from 1 species
CCGUCGAUAGCUCAGUUGGUAGAGCGGUGGACUGUAGAGGUUUCGCACUGAUAUCCAUAGGUCGCUGGUUCGAAUCCGGCUCGACGGA